rnacentral:rRNA from 2 species
GUGACCUCAAAUCAGGUAGGACUACCCGCUGAACUUAAGCAUAUCAAUAAGCGGAGGAAAAGAAACUAACAAGGAUUCCCCUAGUAACUGCGAGUGAAGCGGGAAAAGCUCAAAUUUAAAAUCUGGCAGUCUCUGGCUGUCCGAGUUGUAAUCUAGAGAAGUGUUAUCCGCGCUGGACCGUGUACAAGUCUCCUGGAAUGGAGCGUCAUAGAGGGUGAGAAUCCCGUCUUUGACACGGACUGCCAGGGCUUUGUGAUGCGCUCUCAAAGAGUCGAGUUGUUUGGGAAUGCAGCUCAAAAUGGGUGGUAAAUUCCAUCUAAAGCUAAAUAUUGGCGAGAGACCGAUAGCGAACAAGUACCGUGAGGGAAAGAUGAAAAGAACUUUGGAAAGAGAGUUAAACAGUACGUGAAAUUGCUGAAAGGGAAACGCUUGAAGUCAGUCGCGUUGGCCAGGGAUCAACCUUGCUUUUGCUUGGUGCACUUUCUGGUUGACGGGUCAGCAUCAAUUUUGACUAUUGGAAAAAGGUCAAGGGAAUGUGGCAUCUUCGGAUGUGUUAUAGCCCUUAGCUGCAUACAAUGGUUGGGAUUGAGGAACUCAGCACGCCGCAAGGCCGGGUUUUAACCACGUACGUGCUUAGGAUGCUGGCAUAAUGGCUUUAAUCGACCCGUCUUGAAACACGGACCAAGGAGUCUAACAUGCCUGCGAGUGUUUGGGUGGAAAACCCGAGCGCGCAAUGAAAGUGAAAGUUGAGAUCCCUGUCGUGGGGAGCAUCGACGCCCGGACCAGACCUUUUGUGACGGUCCCGCGGUAGAGCAUGUAUGUUGGGACCCGAAAGAUGGUGAACUAUGCCUGAAUAGGGUGAAGCCAGAGGAAACUCUGGUGGAGGCUCGUAGCGAUUCUGACGUGCAAAUCGAUCGUCAAAUUUGGGUAUAGGGGCGAAAGACUAAUCGAACCAUCUAGUAGCUGGUUCCUGCCGA